AGGACAAACGCUGGCGGAAUGUAUUAGGCAUGCAAGUCGAACGGACACUUCGGUGUUAGUGGCGGACGGGUGAGUAACACGUGGGUAACCUGCCUCGCAGUGGGGAAUAACCCUUCGAAAGAAGGGCUAAUACCGCAUACCACCCCCGGUGAGAAUCCGGGUGGUAAAAGUCGCAAGGCGCUGUGAGAGGGGCUCGCGUCCGAUUAGCUUGUUGGUGGGGUAAUGGCCUACCAAGGCAACGAUCGGUAGCU
rnacentral:rRNA from 1 species